UCAAUAUUUUAUCAAUAUAUUUUUAUUAUUUUACUGAUAGAUUUCUAACCAAAUAUGGAUUUAGAUUGUUAGUCCGCGUACUACUUCUUCAAGGAAGCCUAGACACCCAAAAACACUUUCACUUGAAUGGAUUUGCAAUUGGGAUGUCCAAGAACGUUCACGAUGAAUGGACUGACAAUUUAGAUGUUGAAGAAUGGUCGAGACCUGACGAUAGGAUUGAUAAGCAAAACGAAAGACCAUGUCAUGACACUUGGUUUAUUGCAUGGGUUACACUUGUCUUGUUGCAUGCAUUCAUCUUUACACUUGGUUUGUUGCAUGUAUUCCUCAUGAACCAAGUGACAUGACUCAUGAGGAAUACAUACAAACAAGUCAAGUGUCAAGAGGAAUACAUGCAUCAAGCCAAGUGUUACCCAGGAAAUAAACCAAAUGUCAUGAUUCAUGAGGAAUACAUGCAACAAGCCAAGUAUCAAGAUGAUUGCAUGCAACAAGUCAAGUGUUACCCAUGCAAUAACCAAGUGUCAUAUUAAUGAGGAAUACAUGCAAGAAUCCAAGUGUCAAGAGGAAUACAUUAGCAAUCUAGUGUUAUCCAUACAAUAAACUAAGUGUAUGACUCAUGGAAAAUACAUGCAACAAGUCAGGUGUUAAAAGGAAUACAUGCGGCAAAUCAAUAGUUACCAAUGCAAUAAACAAAGUGUCAUGACUCAUGGGGCCGAAUUACAAAAGAAAUGUCAUUUGUAUGAGUAUUUGAAUCAAAGUGGCCUUGGAAUAGAGGAGCAUUCACACA